rnacentral:lncRNA from 1 species
CUGGUGUCACCUCUUUGCCACCUAAGUUUUCUGAAGUCUGCGGUGGUGGGGUGGGGUGGCCAUACCGUGACCUCUAGGGGUCUAUCUGGUGAGGAGGAUCCCUAAGAGGGGCUAGGGGCUUGCUGGCCUUCUGAAGGCCAUGAUCGACUGGGAGUUGGGGUGACAGACCCCUGUGGUGCACUGCCCCACCUCACCCCUCUGGGCUCUGUCCUGGGAGGUCAGGACUGUCCUCCCCAGGGACCCAUGCCCCUCCCCCAUGCUCUGCCCCUCUGGCCCUAGCUUCUGCCCAUCUCCCCUUCCUGAGGAGCCCAGCCCAGCCACACCUGGGGAUCAGCAGUGUUUAUAGGUAACCCUCAUGGGGACAGGGGCAGGCCUGGGAAGGACUCUCAACAGAAACCUGGCAACCGGGGGCCUCCUUGCGUCUGCAGUGCCUAGGCAACUGUUGCGGUGAUGCCGGCCUGUUGACUCUGGACACUCCGCAUCCAUGGUGCAGGGCCACCUCCUACACGCCCUCCUGAGGCCAGCCAUCUGACCGUGGAGAGCAGUCUCUGGGAUAUACGUCAUGUCCAGCAAGGGAGUCCUUCAGUGACCCCAGGAUGGGGCUGCUUCUCUCUAGCUGAGCAAUCCUUCCAGAGGGAACUGAGCAGGGAGGGGACGGGCCUGCAGUGUCCCCUCCUGUGGCCCCGGGAUGCUGGACUCCUCAGUGGCAGAUCAACUGACCCGACUGACCCUGAAACUCCUCGAGAAGGUAAGACAGCUGGGCACUUGUGCUUUUAACAGCUUGUUACAGAACACAGCUUUGACAGGUAAGAUUAUACCUGUCACACCCACUUCCAAAGCAAAGCAGUUCUGCAUGGUUCUAGCCUUGUAGUAAAGAGCUGUGGUUUCUUGGUUCUUUUUUGUGUUUGAACAGAAACAAGUAGGGUCUUCUGGAAGUUUCUGCAGCUGGGAGGCAGGCCUGCACCCACAGGAUGGAGCAUUUCCAGGGCCCCCAGAGCUCUCUCGCAGCCUCCCAGCUUCCAAAUUUUAGGAAAGACAGAGCCAGCCUGGUGUGGCCUCUCAGCUGGGUACAGGGCACGCAGUCUGUGCACACUCUCAGGCUGGUCUCCUCCUCUGAGGGUCUGCAUGGUCCUUUCGGUGCCCCCUCCAAACCCUCACUUGCCUGUUCUGUUCUUCUGCCCACCACGCUUGCCUUCCACCUCCCUGGGCUGCCCAGAGAGGGCAGCAGGGGUCACCCCAGGACUGGUCUGGAUUAUAACUGCUCAGCCCUGGGCUCAGCUGGGGCAUCAGGGCAGUCAGGAUACAGAGCUGUCGUGGUCAAACUCUUCAGAGCUGUCGUGGUCAAACUCUUCCCUCUCUCUCCUCACAGAAACUGGAGCAAGAGCGUGAGGAUGUGGAGGGGGCCUCUGAGGACCCCCAUGAUGUGCCAGGAGAUGAGGACGGGCCAGAGGCUGCCCUGCGGAGCGCUCUGAGGAUGAGGAAGGACCUUCUGCAGAGACUCUGGGAACAGCGCCUCCUGGAAGAGGCUUCCCGGGUUUGUCACCACAGGGGACUGCACGGAGGAGCCCAUGGGUCAGUGCUGCCCCCAGAGGCGCCUCCCGUGGGCGUCCACCCCACUGUCUCCCCAGCCCCACCUGCCCUAGACCCACCACGGAUCAUCCAACACCCGGUACGUCUGCCUUGAGUGAACCUGGGGGGCAGAACCAAUGGGGAGGGUGCCAUGCCUCCAGAGACCUCCCGCCUGAGCAGAGAUGUCAGUCACUCCACACCUGCGCCCACAGCAGCUUAGGGAAGUGCGCUCAAGGGGCCAUCGGCUCAGCGGCCACAGUGGCUGCAGUCCGUGUCCAGCCCUGUUGGGACAAACAUGUCCCGUAUCAUCAGGCCUCACAGGUGCCCUAAGCACUGGCUGUGUGUGUGGCGGUGGGGGGCGGGGGUGGUUAUCUCCUCAUUACAGGUAGAGGCUGGGGUCCCAGCUCAGCCCCAGGUGCUAACCUCUGCAGCAAGAGUGGAAGUAUGGGGGGAUUCUGCAUUGGCUGGGCCUGAAUUUGGGGAAGAAGUGUGUCAGCUCUUUUCCAAAACUUCCUAAUUACCAGAGGAAGCUUGGGCCCCUAGUCUCCAGACAGAAUUUUAAGGUGCAUUGAAAGGUGAAUGUGCACCCACUCCUGAGAGGCUCACCCCUGCAUAUGGCAACAGAAAGCCACUCUUCCUUAAGUAGAAGGGAUUGUAUCGGGGCGGGUGGUGCCCAGAGGAAGGAAGGGCAGCAGCUGGUCCCGGCUGGCUGUGACCUCAGGGGUUGGGAGCGUGAGUAGACGACAGGCAGGAGGUGGCCCCAGCGGGCUGUGGCCUUGCGAGGAGGAGAUGACAAGGCUGGAGGUAGCUAAGGCCAAGCUGAGAAGGUUCUGGAUGGGUCGGCCAGGGAGACCGAUGGUGCCAGCGGGCCGGGUCGUGACCUGGAGGACGUUUAUCUCCUGGGGGGACCUGGCUGCCUGUGCGGAGGGAAGGGAGAGGGAUCCAUCCAGCGGAGCUCCCAGAGCCCUGGCCCCGGCACUGUCUGUGUCUUCCCCAACUUUCUACCCCUGGAAUCUCUGCCAGGAAUGGUGGGAGAGGGGUGUAGGUGCAGGAGGCUCACCCAGUCCUCAGCGUGCUCACACUUCCCACAACUCCUUACCCCAGUCUUGCUUGGGUGUCUCAGCCUGGACUCCAGUGACACCACAGGGCAAGCAGGACCCAGGGUGGUUGGGAAGGGUUUUCCAGAGACUCUGGGGUGGAGCUGCCAUUGGCCACUCUGGCUGCCUCUCCAGUCUGCACCGGGUGGUGGGCUGUGACGACACCAAAGCUGCUGCCGCCUGUGUGUGAGCAACCUGCUAGUCGAGGGGGCUGGUAACACGCAAAGAGGGUACGACAUGUGCACCUCUGGGUUCAUAAGUCAAGCUUCACCGGAUCAGCUCUGUCGGCUUACCAGUCCAGGGCUGCCUUCCAGCUGCAGCAGCCGAGGUGAACAGUGACAACUGAAGCUGUGUGGCCACAGAGCGGGAACAGUACCCCAUCUGGCCCUUUGCAGGAUGUUUGCCAGCCCUGUCUCUGCCAUCCUUUCUGUGAACCGAGGGAGAGGGGACAGGGCAGGCCCCGGUGCAUCCAGAAGAGGAUUAAAGUGGUAAUCAACCCUAGUGCAUGCUCUGAGCUGUGGUGCAUUUGUGUUAACUCAGGAGAGAAGCUAGAGGCUGUUUCCACGCCAAGCUGCUUUGAUGCCUCUAUUAAAGCAGAAGUAGUGGACCCAGGGAUGAGCUUAGCCCACUGACACAAGAAAAUGUGGGAAACAGUAGAAAAUGCCAUGUUUCACUCAGCUUGAGCUCCAUUAUAAAAUAUUAAUACCACAGUCUUUGCACUUAAAUGUCAGACAUUUACCUUAUUACUGCCUGGAAGCUGGAUGUCUUAGAUGGAGGUGCCAGCCAACCUGAUUCCCUGAGCAUGGCCUCCUGGCUAGGGAUUGGCAGCCUUCUCAUGGUGUCUCAUGGGGCAGAGAGAGUCUGGUGUCUCUUUGUCUUAUCAAGGGCACCAGACCUAUCAACCUAGAGCCCCAUCCUUAUGCUCUCUUCACCUUUAUCACCUCCUCACAGGCCCCAUCUCCAAAUGCAGUCACUUUGGAGCUUAGGGUUUCAACAUAUGAAUUUGAGCGGGGAAUAAACAUUCAGUCCAUAACAUGCCCUGUCUUAAGUGAUAUCCAGAUGCAAGUAUUUAUCUAUUUGGACACUUGUUUAAUCUCUAGGGUUUCUUGCCUAAAAUCUCCCAUGGAUGGAUGGAUGGAUGGAUGGUGGAAGUCUGGAUGGCGGGUGGUGGGUGGUGCUGUAGAUCACUAUUCCCAGGGCUAGUCCAUUCAGAUAAUGGAUUGUCUGGCUCUUCCAGGCCCCCCCACCUCCUGCCACCAUCAUCCAGCAGCUGCCUCAGCAGCCACUCAUUGCACAGAUCCCCCCUCCCCCGGCCUUCCCCACCCAGCGGUCAGGAAGCAUCAAGGAAGGUAAGUGUCCACAGUGAAUGUUGUCAUGUUGUUGUUUGGUCACUUAGUCGUGUCCAACUCUUUGCGACCCCAUGGAUUGCAGCAUGCCAGGUUUCCCUGUCCUUCACCAUCUCCCAGAGUUUGCAUAAACUCAUGUCCAUUGAGUCGGUGAUGCCAUCCAGCCAUCUCAUCCACUG